GAUGAACGCUGGCGGCGUGCCUAAUACAUGCAAGUCGAGCGAACAGACGAGGAGCUUGCUCCUCUGACGUUAGCGGCGGACGGGUGAGUAACACGUGGAUAACCUACCUAUAAGACUGGGAUAACUUCGGGAGACCGGAGCUGAUAACGGAUAAUAUAUUGAACCGCAUGGAUCAGUAGUGAAAGACGGUUUUGCUGUCACUUAUAGAUGGAUCCGCGCCGCAUUAGCUAGUUGGUAAGGUAACGGCUUACCAAGGCGACGAUGCGUAGCCGACCUGAGAGGGUGAUCGGCCACACUGGAACUGAGACACGGUCCAGACUCCUACGGGAGGCAGCAGUAGGGAAUCUUCCGCAAUGGGCGAAAGCCUGACCGAGCCACGCCGCGUGAGUGAAGAAGGUCUUCGGAUUGUAAAACCCUGUUAUUAGGGAAGAACAAAUGUGUAAGUAACUAUGCACGUCUUGACGGUACCUAAUCAGAAAGCCACGGCUAACUACGUG
rnacentral:rRNA from 1 species